GGGUUGUUAGCUCAGUCGGUAGAGCAGUUGACUUUUAAUCAAUUGGUCGCAGGUUCGAAUCCUGCACGACCCA
rnacentral:tRNA from 1 species